UCUCUGGUAAUAUAUUGGUUAGUACACGCGCCUGCCAUUUGCAAUUCGGCGUUCUGAACGCGCAAAAGCUGGGUUCGACUCCCAACCAGAGAG